rnacentral:rRNA from 1 species
GGAUCUGCCGAAUGGNGGGGGACAACAGUUGGAAACGACUGCUAAUACCGCAUAAUGUCGCGAGACCAAAGCAUGGGACCUUAGGGCCAUGCGCCAUUUGAUGAACCCAUAUGGGAUUAGCUAGUAGGUGAGGUAAUGGCUCACCUAGGCGACGAUCUCUAGCUGGUCUGAGAGGAUGACCAGCCACACUGGGACUGAGACACGGCCCAGACUCCUACGGGAGGCAGCAGUGGGGAAUAUUGCACAAUGGGGGAAACCCUGAUGCAGCCAUGCCGCGUGUAUGAAGAAGGCCUUCGGGUUGUAAAGUACUUUCGGUAGCGAGGAAGGGGUUAUAUCUAAUAGGUGUAACCAUUGACGUUAACUACAGAAGAAGCACCGGCUAACUCCGUGCCAGCAGCCGCGGUAAUACGGAGGGUGCGAGCGUUAAUCGGAAUGACUGGGCGUAAAGGGCAUGUAGGCGGAUAGUUAAGUUAGGUGUGAAAGCCCCGGGCUCAACCUGGGAAUUGCAUUUAAAACUGGUUAUCUGGAGUAUUGUAGAGGAANGUAGAAUUCCAUGUGUAGCGGUGAAAUGCGUAGAGAUGUGGAGGAAUACCGGUGGC